GUUUUUGGGGGAGGGCGCAGGGGAGAUUGGGGCAAAGGGGGAAAGAGUGAGAAGGCAUUGCGGCGUAAAAGCGAAAGUCCCGUGGGAUAAAAAAUUUUUUUAUGAGGAGAAAAAUGACGUUCCAAGAGAGNNNAU
rnacentral:rRNA from 1 species